UCUGUCAUGACUCACAAAUAUUCCGUGAAUGUACACUGAGCACAAAAUUUGGACAUGGAGAGUUCACUGGCUACUUGCUUGGUGAUAGGGGGUAUCCAUGUUUACCCUAUUUGCUUACCCCUUACCCUGACCCUGAACCGGGCCCACAGCAGCGA